UCCUGGGGCCGCCCGUGAGGAUGUCGCGACCGCCCCCCUGUGCCCCUCAGCCCCGGAGACGCCGCCGCGGCGAAGCCCGCACCCCCCCUGUCUGAGGUGUCUGGGCCCGGAUCCGGCCUCUCCCCUCCGCUCCUUAACCCAGGUGCGGGCCGGGCAGGCGGCCGCGGCAGGUGAGGAGGCGGCCGCGGCAGGUGAGGAGGCGGCCGCGGCAGGUGAGGAGGCGGCCGCGGCAGGUGAGGAGGCGGCCGCGGCAGUAAUAAAAGGAUCUGUGAGGCAGUGUCCCGGAAAACCUUCAUGAAGAGGGACUUUGAAGACAUUCAACACAUCACUGUGGAUGAAGCUCAGAAUUUCCACACUGAAAAUGGGGACUUAUAUGGGAAGGCAAAAGCCGUCACUCAGAGGGAAAAGGAAGUCCAGAAAUUCUCUGGAACUUUCUGAACCAUUUUCAGACCAGCCGCUUGGAUGUUAGCGGUCUCCCUCCUCUUUCAUCCCAGUAGCUAAGAGCUCACCAGAGUGAUCCCCAAUGCAGAUGAAGUCGCCCAAUACCUACCAGAAGUGAUGAAGGUCAUUAGAAGAAAACCACCAUGCAACAUCCCCCAUGGGUCCUUGGAGGUGCUUAUGAAAGCCGAACAACUUCGGGGUUCUAAGGAACUAUGCCAAUUGAGAGAGAGAUUAGAAAUGUGAGCCACUGCAUCUGCAUUUUUUCCUGAAUUCUUGAAAUUUGUCUUUGCUCUAUUGAUUCAGGACAUGGAAGAUUCCCGAGAUAAUUCAGUCACUGAAUUAUCUCAAGCAUUUUGGCAGAACAAAGAGCACUGGUAUGGAUAUGUAAGGUACUUCAGUUGCCCUUUUUCAGAGAAAUUUUAGACCAAGAGAAAGCACACAUACACACCUCUUUUUUUUUUUCUGGAUUUCAACAGGAGAUUGUAUUAUGGAACAGAAUCAGAUUCUACAGGUGUGUAUAAGCUCCUAAGGAACAGGAAUAGGAAAGAAAGUCUUUUAAAAUCUACAAGUCUUCUGGGGAUGUCACUUCGUGGAGUCUUAUUAAGGAAUUUGGGGCCUGCCCCCACGAGAUGAAGAUGAGGACCAACUUUAUCUUCUAUUAGACGCAGAGUCUCUGGUCUGAUUCCUCAGUCUGCCGUCUUGAAAGGAGUCUUAUUAAGGAAUUUGGGGCCUGCCCCCACGAGAUGAAGAUGAGGACCAACUUUAUCUUCUAUUAGACGCAGAGUCUCUGGUCUGAUUCCUCAGUCUGCCGUCUUGAAAGCCUGACCGUGCAGAACCCCUGAAGCUCUCCUGGGAGGAACCAUCACCACCUUCAGAAAGGCCACCUUGACUUUGGUCACUUUACAGGGGACGAAAACCAACUCUGUUCUUGGAGCCACGAGGGCCACUCCUUUAAGUGCCAAAAGGCGCCCCCUUACAGGAACCCUGAAUUCCACCUCGGAGCAUCAAUACCUCCAUGAACCAGGCUGCAUAUAUUUACAGAGGGAAUCAUAUCACCCAUUUCCCUGGUGGUAAAGGGAGAAGAUGACCAAGGCUCAUCAGUGGAUGUGUCCUGUCUUGUGGAAACCCUCACAGUACUUCUCUGGGAGCUCGAGGACGGCCUGGUGCCUGCCCUGCAGCAGGGGAACACCCCCUAUGUCCAUGGGGUUUUGUAUUUGUACCAAGAUUUGGCCAGUACCCAGAAGGCUCUGGAGCUGCUGGGUAAAAGGUAUGGACGCCUCCAGCCAUAUGUUGAGGAGGAGUACCUUCAAGACAAGAAAUCAUGACUCACCAGAGUAAUUAACUGGUCUAACAAUAUUGAAGUUAGACCAGUUAAUUACUCUGUAAUGGACUGAAGAGUUGGAAUAAAAGGAAGAGUUCCAAGUUUUGCAUUCCAAAUAGAAAGCUGUGCCUUGGGCUGGGCUGUAGCUCAGUGGCAGAGUGCUUGCCUAGAAUGUAUGAGGCACUGAGUUCAAUCCUUAGCACUACAAAAAACAAAACAAAACAAAACAAAACAACUAAACAAAGAAAGGCAUGCUGUUGAUCUAAAACUAUUAAAAGAAGAAAGAAAGAAAGAAAAGAAAAAAAAAAAGCUGUGCCUCUUGAAUAAUUAGUCCCAAUGAGAAUGCAAGGGAAAUGUUCAUAAAGAAAAUUAAAGUGCUGCUCCAGGGCAUAGGUGAAUGAUAAGAAAGCAAAACAGCUGAUAGGGAUAAAGUUUUCAUAGUCUGGAGAACAGGUGAAACAAGCCACGUUCCCUUAAGCCAAAACCGCAUCCAGAUAAGGCCAAAACAUUAGAUUUUUCUGAUGCCAAGAGAAGGGAGAAAGCUCCAGAAGAAGUCUGAAGGUGGCAGAAUUUGGUUCAUGAUGUUCGAAGCAAGCGGCCCAUCUCCAUAUAAGACAAGUGCAGGGUGAAGCAGCAAUUGCUGAUGUAGAAGCUACAGCAAGUCAUGAAGAAGAUCUUGCUAAGCUAUCUGAUGAAGACGCGAUAUGGUUGAGUUUCUCGGUGUCCCCCAAAAGCUCAUGGGUGAGACAAUGCAAGAAGGUUUAGAGGGGAAAUGAUCCUGUUAUGAGAGCCUAAAGCCAAUUAGUGAAUUAAUCCCCUGGCAGGAUGAACAGGUGGCACAGAUAAAAUGGGGUGCCCACACCCUCCCCAAGCCUGGAGGUGUAGGCGCCACCUGUGGAGGAGUCCAGUUGCAGUGUGGAAGUGAAGAGCAGCCACCCUCAACGUUCCACAUUAGGGUUCCACAUUGGAGGUUCCCAGCAACCAGCGGCAUCCCUCUGCGGGCAGGUCGUUCAUCAGGGAGCCUAGGCGCCCUAAGGCCCUUUGGGGAGUCCAGUUGAAUCGGUGGCUGCAUGGAAAUAGGCGUCCAAAUAGGAGCAUCCUCAUCCAUUGGCGGUGGCGGGAGUCUGCUUCCAGUGCAGUGGAGGUGUUGGCAGCAUUUCUGGUGGCCAGGUCGGGACUCCAGUGGCCACAGUGUGGAGCACUGGCUGUGGCGACAGCGACAGCGUAGGGCAGCGGGCCUCAGAGUCAGAGGGCGACCAGAGGAUGGGGUGCCCUGUGCUGUGGCUGCCCCAGGCCACUUGUCUUGCUCCUGGCAGGGCCUGCCUGCUCAGGAAGCAGGACACGGCAGGCGGCGGUACCCACACAGCCUCUGAGGACCUUAUGCUGAGCACGCAGGCGGCGCCUGGCACCGGCACUGAGCCCCCCGGGUGGCAGCUCGCCCCACCCCGAGUUCGCCCUGCCCCUCCCUGGGUUGCGGCCUCUGCGGGGGAAGUAGGCCCGCUGCCAGCCGGGGCAGCCUUUAAAGAGGACACCCACCCUCCCCAGCGACAUCUCUCCUGGGCUGUGGCCACUGAGAGCAGAGGCAGUGGGGGGUGGGGCUACAAAUCCUCCCCCUCAAAACGCAUCCCUGGGGCGGGACAAGGGUGGAGGGCAUAGAUGGCAGAGGGAACCCCAAGACGUGCUGUCCUUGGUCUUGGUCUUCUGCCACCCUUAGACACAGAAAUGUACUUUAAAAAAAUUAAUUAGCUGUAAUUAGUUGUACAUAACAGCAGAAUUCACUUUGGUUCAUUGUACAGAAAUGGAGCACAGCUUUUCAUUUCUCUGGUAGAACACGAUGUAGAGUUGCACCAUAUGUGCAGUCCUGCAUGUACCUAGGGUAAUGAUAUCCCUCUCAUUCCACCCUCUUUCCUACCCCAUGCCUGUCCCUCCUAUCCUUCCCCUUUGCCCCAAGUUCCUCCAUUCUUCCCUUGCCCCCCUCAUUAUGGAUCAGCAUCCACUUAUCAGGGAGAACAUUCAGCCUGUUGUUUUUGAGGAUUAGCUUUUUUCAUUUACAUAACUGCCGCCAGACUGCGGCAGUUGCUUGUAUUCUUGUUAACUGCCAUUCUGGCUGGAGUAAGAUUGUCUUAGAGUAGUUUUGAUUUGCAUUUCUCUAAUUUCUGGUGAAGUUGAACAUAUUUUCAUAUAUUUGUUGAUCGACUGUGUAUCUUCUUCUGUGAAGUGUCUGCCCAUUUCCUUAGCCCAUUUAUUGAUUGGGGUAUUUAUUCUUUGGAUGUUGACGUUUUUGAGUUUUUUAUAUAUCCUGGAAAUUAGUGUUUUAUCUAAUGUGCGUGUAGUAAAGAUGUUCUCCCACUCUGUGAGCUCUCUCUUCAUAUUAUUGUUUCCUUUGCUGAGAAGAAGCUUUUAAGUUUGAAUCCAUCCCAUUAUUAAUUCUUGAUUUUAUUUCUUAAGUACAGGGUCUCUGGUCUAAUUCCUAGGUCCUUGAUCUACUCUGAGUGUUUGUGCAAGGUGAGAGAUCGUGGUUUAAUUUCAGUCUGCUACAUAUGGAUUUACAGUUUCCCCAGCACCAUUGUUGAAGAGGCUAUCCUUUAGCUAAUGUAUGUUUUCGGCACCUUUGUCAAGAAUGAGAUAACUACAUUUAUGUGGGUUUUUCUCUGUAUCUUCUAUUUUGUACCAUUGGUCUACAUGUGUAUUUUGGUGCCAAUAGCAUGCCGUUUUUGUUACUACAGAUCUGUAGUAGUUUAAGGUUUGAUAUUGUGAUGUCUCCUACUUCACUCUUUUUGCUAAGGAUUGCUUUGUCAAUAAGGAUUUCUCUGUGUCUAUUUUUCCAAAUGAAUUUCAUGAUUACUUUUUCUAUUUCUAUGAGGAAUGUUAUUGGGAUUUUAAUUGGAAUCACAUUAAAUCUGUAUAAGGUUUAUGAUAGUGUGGCCAUUUUGACAAUAUUAAUUCCAUGAGGGAGGAAUUGGAAUCAGGUACCUGCUCAAAAGGGGAGGGAUCCGAUAGCCACGCCCACCUCAAAAUGGCAAGGAAUGCUUUCCAAGAUGUAGUGGGUGUGCUUCCAGAGCCGGGUGUCUGGUGAUGUCAGGGGAACCGAUGGCCUUGUGCUGUGGGGAGGUAGCAGCUGAGUGACCUGCAUGGGAGUGGAGUGAGUCUCGGCCUUCUGCAGAUGUGUUGGUAGGUGGUUCUGCUAAGGCGCUGGCCAAGUCUUAAGUGAACUGCAACUUUGGCUUUGGGUCCUGCUCGGACACUGAGGCCCUGAGUCCUGCGCGAGGUCACAGCGCUGGUCAUUUCUGUAGAGAGAAGCUGUAAAGGGGCCUCUAACACUCUCAAGAGAUGCAGAAUUCCUACUAGGAGAGAUCUGGAUCACAGAGCAACACAGAUGCUGCUUCCCUCUGGUCCGCCAUCUUUGAAAGUCUUUUCAAUUUCUUUCUUUAGUUUUCAUUGUAUAGGUCUUUCAUCUCUUUUGUUAAAUUUAUACCCAAAUAUUUCAUUUUUGAGGCUAUUGUGAAUGGGAUAGUUUUCCUAAUUUCUCUUUCAGAGGGUUCAUCACUAAUAGAUAGAAAUGCAUUUGAUUUAUGAAUAUUGAUUUCAUAUCCUGUGACAUUGCUGAAUUUGUUAAUAUUAGAAGUUUUCUGGUGGAGUUUUUUUUGGAUCCUCUAUGUGUAGAAUCAUGUCAUCAGCAAAUAGGGAUAGUUUGAGUUCUUCUUCCCCUAUUCCUAUCCCUUUAAUUUCUUUCAUCUACAGCUCUGUCGUGUAGUCUAAGCUGUAGUGGAGUUUAAACAGCAGUAUAGUUUAAACUCUGGCUAGAGUAUCAGGGACUAUGUAGAGUAGAAGGUGAGAGAGGGCAUCCUUGUCCUGUUCCAGUUCUGAGAGGAAAUGCUUCCAAUCAGAAAUGCACUUUGAGGAUGAAGAGGUCCUAGUUCCUCUGCUCUCUCCCCCCACAGCCCAGGUGGGAUGUCUCUGAGGAAGGUGGGGGUCCUCUCCCAAGGCUGCCCCACCUGGCAGAUGGCCUAGUUCCCCUGCAGAGGCCACAUCGGGGAUGGGGCGAGCAGCCACCCGGUGGGCUCAUGGCCAGUGCCAGGCGAGGCAGGUGUGGGCAGCCUAAGGUCCUCAGCAGCUGCCUGGGUAUUGCCACCCCCCUCGUGCUGCUUCCUGAACAGGCCGAUCAGCCAGGACCAAGACCCAGGGCCUGGAACAGCCACUGCAGAGGCCAUUCCAGCCUCUCGUCGCCCUUCCACUCUGAGGCUCACUGCCCUGCGCCCUCGCUGCCGCCACCAGCCUGGAGCUCUUCACUGUAGCCACCGGACUCCCCACAUGGUCGCCAGAUGCCACUGCAGCAGGAUUCCUGUUACCCCAGCAGGAUGAAGAUGCUCACCACUGGACGCCUCUGUGUCCUCAGCCCCGUUUCCAGACUCUACUGGUGCUGCCGCCACCGUGCAGCAACCAAACUCCCAAACCCCAGCUGGACUAUGAUGCUGCCCACCAAGGGCCCAACGUCAAUGCCCUUCACCCCCCGCCAUGAUGCCUGACUCCAGUGCCCCAUGCCGGCUCCCGGAUGAAGCUGCAUGUUGCUGCUGCCACCACCAGACUCCAUCAUGGACGCAAGACAGCGAUACUCAGCACUGGAUGCCCACUUCACCCACUGCAGUCAGACUCCUGUGGCACUGCAGGACAGAAAUGAUCAUGGCAACAUCCCUCUGUUGUCACCACAGCAGCUUCUGGACUCUUCUGCUGCCACCACCGCUGUGAGUAUGCAGCAAGGGAUCUCCCAAACUGCAGCUGGAUGCCAACACCUCAGCUGUUGCCACCCCCAUGCCAACUCUCAACUCCGGACCUCCCUCGCCUGAUGCCCUACGCCUGAAGCAGCUACAUGUUGCUGCUGCUGCCACCAGAUGCUACCACUCCAUGAGGCCUCUUCAGUGAUUCCAUCCCAAAGAUGCUGCUGUGCUGCCCAAGACCACAGAAGCUGGGAAGUUGGGCAGUCUCCAUCGCAGUCGCCUCAUCAGUGCCCACCGCUUGCCGCCUGCCUUUCCUCCCCCAGGACCACCCACCAGUCCUUCUGGGCCCUUGAGCAGGAGUUGUGCUGACUCAGGGAACUCAUCCAAGGAAAAUAACUGACCAUCAGGAAGAAGGAAACACCAGAGAAGCUUGAGGAUCAGAAGGACACUAGCCCUGCUCUGGUCACCCUGGAAGCUGGCUAGCCUGCACCCACCAAAGCCUGAGGAAACAGCAGCCCUGCUUCAGCCACUUGAGGGCUGGCUGAUCAAUGCAAGGAGGAAAAUAAACUAAGCAACAGGACAAAUGGACUGUUUCAUCCUGUAAGAGGGCUCUCAUACUGUGGUGCAUUGCCACCCCUUACUUCUGUCAUAUACACAGUCCUCUCCUUGGUCUUUACUACAGGACUGACAACCACCAAACACAUAGCUAACCCAUAAUGGGGGGCGGGGCAAGGGAAGAUGGGAGGGACUUUGGAUUGGGCUGAGGGGAGUGUGGGAGGGGAGGGGAUAUGGGAGUGGGAAGGAUGGUGGAAUGAGGUGGAUUGUAUUAAUCUAUGUACAUGUAUGAUUGCAGGAAUGGGGUGACUGUGCACUGUGUCUAACCAGAGAAAUGAAAAGUUGCCUCCAUUUGUGUUUAAUAGUCAAAAUGCAUUCUGCUGUUAAAUAUAACUAAUUGAAAAAAAAUUCAUAAAGGUCUAAGGCUUAAAAGGAAGUUUAGACACUUUAAUGGUCAUAAAAAUAUAUACAUUUUUCUUGUAUAAAAUUUAAACUUAUUAAUUAAAUUGAAAAAAAAAGCCAACUAGCACAUGUACUAGUUCAAACCUGAAAGGGCAUUAAGGCUUGGGAACCAAGCUCACUCUUUGGAGGAUGGUUUUUCUAUUCUUGGUGGAUUCAAAAGUUUAAUUGACAUAGUAUGGAUGAUGCUAUUGUUUAUUGCUUUCAUAUUUGUCUCCCCUUUACAAUGAAACUAUUGGGUCAACCAUAGAAGCAGCUGUUAGAGGGGGGAGGGUGGGAGGAGGGAAACACGGAGGGAGAAAUUAAGAUUAUGGCAUUAUAUAAAAUUUUAAGCCUAGAAGAUGAUGUUUUUUGAUUUAAAGGGUUAAAUAAUGAGCAUAGAGGGGGUAACGAUGUAUCACAAAUACUCCAAAUGAUGUAGUGUCCAAAAGAUCCCCACCUUAAUUGGAAUAUAUAAGCCUUUCUCCUAGUAAACAAGAUUUUUUUUUUUUUUUUUGAAGUCAACAGGAUUUCUAGAGAGCUCAUUGUGGUUUAGCUCCUCUUUAUUGUAAAGGUCAGGUUUCUCUUUCUUGUAAAAGUUAGGUCUGCAGGGCUGGGGUUGUGGCUCAGUGUUAGAACACUUACCUAGCAGGUGUGAGGCACUGGGUUUGAUUCUUACACCACAUAAAAAUAAAAUAAGGUAUUGUGCCCAUCUACAAUUUUAAAAAAAAGUUAUGUCAGCAAUCAAACUUGUUGAUGUACAAAAGUUAAAUCUUGUGAAACCUCUGUCCAAUCUAAGAACAUGGAAGAAAAAGUAACUAUUAUGUUAGCCAUUGUGUUGUGUAACCAUUCACUGAGUAGAAGUCCCAGAGAGCUUCCAUACCUGGGGUCCAGGGAUUUUUUGGCAUUAGCCCCUCUGGAUUACACCAGCUUAAAUAAACCUUGUUCCUGCACAUUUCUCAAGUGUCCAGCCUCCUCUGUCCUACAUCAAUACCUGCUUGAAAUGCUAGAAUGUCCCCAUUCUUGAAGGACACUCAGAGACAGUCUCUCUGGCUCUGCCACAGUAUGAAUUCUAUCCAAAGAUAUUAAUCACAAAAAACUAAAGGGAGAUUACACUAUAGUGACCUCCUGGGGGGAGAUUCAGUGUUGCAUGAUGAAACUUGUAUACAUAUAUUGUAUUGCUAUGAUAUACCCUGUAAAGUAUAGAAAUGAUACAUCUGAAUAAACAUGUUUUGUGAGAAAUUGAA